rnacentral:rRNA from 1 species
CCUAUGGGGUGCAGCAGGCGCGAAAACUUUACAAUGCGGGAAACCGUGAUAAGGGAAUCUCGAGUGCCAGCAUAUAAUGUUGGCUGUCCAGAUGCCUAAAAAGCAUCUGUUAGCAAGGGCCGGGCAAGACCGGUGCCAGCCGCCGCGGUAACACCGGCGGCCCGAGUGGUAACCGCUUUUAUUGGGUCUAAAGGGUCUGUAGCCGGCCAAGUAAGUCCCUUGGGAAAUCUGGCAGCUUAACUGUCAGGCUGCUAGGGGAUACUGCUAGGCUUGGGACCGGGAGAGGUGAGAGGUACCUUGGGGGUAGGGGUGAAAUCUUGUGAUCCUCGGGGGACCACCAGUGGCGAAGGCGUCUCACCAGAACGGGUCCGACGGUAAGGGACGAAAGCUAGGGGCACGAACCGGAUUAGAUACCCCCGUAGUCC